GUAGGUGGCAAGCGUUGUCCGGAAUUAUUGGGCGUAAAGCGCGCGCAGGCGGUUCUUUAAGUCUGAUGUGAAAGCCCACGGCUCAACCGUGGAGGGUCAUUGGAAACUGGAGAACUUGAGUACAGAAGAGGAAAGCGGAAUUCCACGUGUAGCGGUGAAAUGCGUAGAGAUGUGGAGGAACACCAGUGGCGAGGGCGGCUUUCUGGUCUGUAACUGACGCUGAGGCGCGAAAGCGUGGGGAGCAAACAGGGAUUAGAUACCCUGGUAGUCCACGCCGUAAACGAUGAGUGCUAAGUGUUAGGGGGUUUCCGCCCCCUUAGUGCUGCAGCUAACGCAUUAAGCACUCCGCCUGGGGAUACGGCCGCAAGGCUG
rnacentral:rRNA from 1 species